GCGGGAGUAGCUCAGUGGCAGAGCAUCAGCUUCCCAAGCUGAAGGUCGCGGGUUCGAUCCCCGUCUCCCGCUCCG
rnacentral:tRNA from 3 species